rnacentral:rRNA from 1 species
GUGUCAGCAGCCGCGGUAAGACAGAGGCCACAAGCGUUAGGCGGAAUCACUGGGCUUAAAGCGUGUGUAGGCGGAUCGUUAAGUGCCUUGUGAAAUCCCCCGGCUCAACCGGGGAACGGCUGGGCAUACUGGCGGUCUUGAGCCACCUAGGGGCGACUGGAACAGACGGUGGAGCGGUGAAAUGCGUAGAUAUCGUCUGGAACGCCAACGGUGAAAACAGGUCGCUGGGGGUGAGCUGACGCUGAGACACGAAAGCCAGGGGAGCAAACGGGAUUAGAUACCCCCGUAGUCC